UAACAAUAUUGUAGUGCCGUAAUAGGUAGUAUUUAUAACGACCCCCCAAUUUGAUAGAUUUAAAUCGAAAAAAAAAAGCUAUGUUCUUCAUUGUGUCAGUUUUGUCUAAAAAAACGGAUUAUGGAAAAAAAAGAAGUAGAACUGGAACAUGAGACUAUUUUAGUAUUGCGACAAGUAUUUGGAACUCUCAAAUGCAAAAAUUGAUGUACACCCAUUGUUGUAUUGGAAAGUAAUAAUUAUUAAAAUGAAUUUACGGAACAGCUGAAGAUAAGUUGGAUAAGAAGGAAAAGUUGAGGAUAAUGGGAAUUAGAUAAGUAUUAGCAAUAAUGGACUAUGGUAAUAAUAAUGACUAUAUUUUUGAUUUUAAAUUGGUAAAUACAUUGAAUGGUCGUUAAUUAUAUUCAGAGGUGUUAGGUUUCACGAAAAAAAAUUAUAGAAUAUUGGAUUUGAGAGAGAUACGUAGCACAUAGUUUGUACUACCAGGCACAAAAUAACACACUGUCAUGGUCCAGUGAUGAAUGUCGUUUAUACAAAAUUCAUUUUUAACUAUUAAGUAAUUAAAAUUAGACCAGGAAAAUUAUUUAAUAUAUGUGGAUGAAAUAAAUUAAUUUAUAUAAGAAAACAUUUAACAAAAAAUAUUUCUUCAAUUACAUAAAUGCAUACAGUAUGCGUUUGAAAUUAGAGAGAGCAAAGGAAUUUAUAAAAAAUUUAAGUAUAUUUUUAAAGGGUGAGAAUCACACAGAGAGAGGUACCCAUGAAAUAGGUAAUGAAGUUAAGUUAUGUUUUAACAAACAUGAUGAAUGCGAGAAACCUAAUAAUAAUAAUAAAAAUAACAAACCUAUCUACAAUGGUAGAAAUAAUAUAUAUUUAAUUACCAAUUAUGGGCUUCAAUCAAAAAGUAAUUGAAUCAAACACACUUUAAUUAAUUUUAUAUAUUA